CCUACGGGUGGCAGCAGUCGAGAAUCAUUCACAAUGGGGGAAACCCUGAUGGUGCGACGCCGCGUGGGGGAAUGAAGGUCUUCGGAUUGUAAACCCCUGUCAUGUGGGAGCAAAUUAAAAAGAUAGUACCACAAGAGGAAGAGACGGCUAACUCUGUGCCAGCAGCCGCGGUAAUACAGAGGUCUCAAGCGUUGUUCGGAAUCACUGGGCGGAAAGCGUGCGUAGGCUGUUUCGUAAGUCGUGUGUGAAAGGCGCGGGCUCAACCCGCGGACGGCACAUGAUACUGCGAGACUAGAGUAAUGGAGGGGGAACCGGAAUUCUCGGUGUAGCAGUGAAAUGCGUAGAUAUCGAGAGGAACACUCGGGGCGAAGGCGGGUUCCUGGACAUUAACUGACGCUGAGGCACGAAGGCCAGGGGAGCGAAAGGGAUUAGAUACCCGGGUAGUC
rnacentral:rRNA from 1 species